GAGAUGAGUCUCGCCCUGUUGCCCAGGCUGGAGUGCAGUGGCACGAUCUCAGCUUACUGCAGCCUCCACCUCACGGGUUCAAGCAAUUCUUCUGCUGGGACUACAGGUGCCUGCCACCACGCCCAGUUAAUUUUUGUAUUUUUAGUAGAGAUGGGGUUUCACCGUAUUGGCCAGGUUGGUCUCAAACUCCCGACUUCAUGAUCCGCCCACCUGGGCCUCCCAAAGUGCUGGGAUUACAGGCGUGAGCCACAGCACCUGGCCCUGGUUAUGCUUAUUUUUAAGGCUAAAAAGUGCCAUUAGUAGGGCCCUGCCUCAAAAGCAUUUUUCAAAUUUCCGCUCCCCAUCUUAGUGUGUGCAAGGGCCCAUUUUGCCAUCUGCCUCCCUCCAACAUAGGGUUUGGUCAUUUUCCAAAAUCUUUUGUUGCUUUAAUUUGUGUUUCUUUAAUUAGAAAAUUUGACUUUUUUUUUCCAUAUAUUUUGAGCCAUUUAUGUAACUCCUUUUCUUGAGUUUCCUAUUUAUAUCCUUCGCUUAUCUUUCUGUUGAGUUUUCCUCUUUUGUUAAAACAUAUGUAGAUUUCAUGGUUACUACUGUAUGAAAACUUUGUAAAUUCAGCUGUGAGUUCUUUGCUGACUGAAGAGUUCUGUGCUUUUUGUUUUAUUUUGUUUUAAUUUCCAAAUAGCAUUUCCUUUACUGGAUUUGUAAUUAAUUUUUCAAGUUAUGUCUUCUAGAAAAAGAGCAGGACCUGGAAGCAGGAGAGUUGAAAGGUCAAGAGCACACGCUUUGGGGUCAGGCAGACCUGCUGCUGAAUCCUGGCUUUGCUGGCGGACUUUGUCGCCUGAGGGGAACAUUCAGAGAGACUUAUCGGCAGGACGUGUACAAAGAGGACAGAAGAGCAGAUGCAGCCUCCAAGAAUGAGCUGCUGAGGACGAGAGAUCUUCCUUCCCUCCUGGCUAAACACCCUGUAGAAGCACUAAUGUGUCCAUGUGCCUCUGGAAGCCAGGCUUUCCCUGGAAGCACAGCUGUAGUAGCUAACUACUCAUAAGAACCUAACUAUGCUGAUGUUGAUGGAAAGGGCUGAAGUCUUUGAAGCCUCAUGGUGGAAAUUUAAAGAAAAUAAUGUGAGAGCGUCACAGACAACUGCACAUUCACCACCACAAAUGGUGCCAUCCCAGAGACAAAUAUGUAAUAGUUCAGAACUUGGGAAAAUGGCCCAGGAUCGAGCCAUGCUAAGAAUGGGAGCAAUUUGGCUGAUACAUGGCUGCCCUGUGCUCCAGCAGGGGGAAAAAAAAGGUUCUAAUUACCCAGCCGCAAUCCUGUAUUUAGAUGUAAAAGGGAGGAAAUAGCUGAGCUCUGUUCUAGUCACAGACAUGCCAAACGGGUCAAGAGAAAAGCCUUCUGCCCAGACCACUGCUGAGCCCACGGCUGGCCUGGGCCCAGGCUACCCAGCCGAUGAGCUUCAGAUGGACCUCCAGAAGGCCACAGCGGCCCCACUUUAUCCUCUGCCUAUUUUGCCAGGACAUUGGCCUCAGACAAUUUCCUCCUCAAAGUUUCUUCACUCUCUUUGGUGUUCUGUUUCAUGCAAAUCUGUUGGGGAUGGGAGGAAUUAAGGACAGGGAGAUCAAAUGACAACCCCUGCCUCCUCAGUGAUUAAAAAAAAUCAGAGCUCAUCCAUAUGGCAGCGGCAUUUCUGACCUGGUCCAGCAUUCCUCCCUCACCCUGUGCUUUCUGAAACUCUCAUGCAUCUUCCGAAUGUCACCUGCUGCCAUGAGGUCAGCAUGGACGAGGGUCAGCGUGGAUCUCCGGUUCUACUAGGCUGCCAAAGUAGCAGAGACAAGCUUCAAUCUGAAGAUAUUUACGACCUGACAAAUACCCCAUCUCAAGAACUUACAGAAACCUCAGCAUGGACAGCCUGGAGUGAAAGGAUGCUUACUUCCUAGGAAGGGCAUUUCUGCUUGGGAAAUGCUCAGCUGUGCCUCAGUUUCCCUUAGUCUUCCUCUGAGCUGCAGGUAAUUGAGACUGAGAGGCUUUCCACACUUCCCAGAAGGGGCAGACUUGAUGGUGCUUCCUAUCUCCACGCAAGAGCAACUGUUGCAGAUCCUCACCUCCGACAGUGCUGAUGGAAACACCCACACCUGCUCGCAGCGGGUCUGGGCUUUCCUAGUCAAUCAUUUUACUUUCAGGGUGUAGAGGUAGGAGAAUGAAACAGAUUGCACAGCACUGGUGAAAAGAAAAGGAGAAAUUCAGGGAGGAGGAAUGAGGGAUCCUCUUUCUUGUGUGUGGGUGUUAGCUUGCCUCCCAACCACACUGACACUUGCUGUGCCAUUGAUUUGACUUUUCUCCUAUCUUAACAAUAACGAAUCAUUAAAAAAUCAGUUUAUC